CCUACGGGAGGCAGCAGUGGGGAAUAUUGGGCAAUGGGCGCAAGCCUGACCCAGCAACGCCGCGUGAAGGAAGAAGGCUUUCGGGUUGUAAACUUCUUUUAUCAGGGACGAAGCAAGUGACGGUACCCGAUGAAUAAGCCACGGCCAACUACGCGCCAGCAGCCGCGGUAAUACGUAGGGGGCAAGCAUUAUCCGGAUUUACUGGGUGUAAGGGGCGUGUAGGCGGGAUAGCAAGUCAGAUGUGAAAGCCCUGGGCUCAACCGGUGACCUGCAUUUGAAACUGGUGUUCUUGAGUACUGGAGAGGCAGACGGAAUUCCUGGUGUAGCGGUGAAAUGCGUAGAUAUUAGGAGGAACACCAGUGGCGAAGGC
rnacentral:rRNA from 1 species